rnacentral:lncRNA from 10 species
CCAUUUUGUUUUCGAUCGUUAAGUGGGCACGUGGUGGAGCGUUGGUGUGUCAGGGGUGUCGACUUCUUCCACAAACUAUUUAAGAGACAGCAGCAGGAGGGACUGGACUGGAUUGUAGAAAACUUCAAGAGUUAAGGAGUGCGGAGUGCUGCUCAGGUGCCUUUGUUUCAGGUCAUAGUCUCUGUUCUAUAUAGCAGCCAACCACAAGGGUUGAUUGAGUCUCACUCUGUUACCCAAGCUGGAGUGUAGUGAUGCAAUCACAGCUCACUGCAGCCUUGACCUCCUGAACUCAAGUGAUCCUCCCACCUCAGCCUCCUAACUGGGGCUACAGAUUCCCUGUUUCUGCUUUAACCUGGGCUGCUUGCUAAGUGCUUGCCUCUCAGGAUCCUUGUGGAGAAUUGGACCUGUGGUCAUGGAUGUUCCCAGGAUGACCUUGACCCAACAAUGAUUGUUGGAAUAAUCAAUGGCAAGAAGUAACU